rfam:Folsomia candida strain VT population Fcan01_Sc005, whole genome shotgun sequence.
AUUGCUUCUUGGCUUUUGGCUAAGAUCAAAGUGUAGUAUCUGUUCUUAUCACCUUAAUAUACAUUUUACAUAAGUGAAUUUAUUUCAGGACUCCGA